CUUGACCGAGCCGAGCCGCAGCGGCCGAUCCGCCGGGCGGCCCUGCCCGUACGUGGCGAGCAGGGCGGUCGCCUC
rfam:Micromonospora coxensis strain DSM 45161 genome assembly, chromosome: I